UUUUUUUUUCUUAAAAAAAAAAAAGGAAUAAACUUUUCAGUGUAUCAAAUUUCCUGGACUCAGAAUAUUGAUAACCUAUUGUUGUACAAAUAUUGCAGUUGCUUCAUGAUACUAGUGCAUCAAUAUACUUGGCAGUUACAAGUGAGUGAUUUUCAUGAAUAGCAUUUACAUUAUUUAUACCUGCUUUUCUAAUUAAUAAUCUUUUUUUUUCUCCCUCGACUAGUGCUCUAUGUAUAUUUUAUUUAUUUAUUAUUUGAUUGACUUGAUGGUUGCUAUUCGAGGCUUUAUACAGGCAACAUUUUGUGAAAACAGGCGACUAAGUAAUGACGAUGUAAAUUUUUAUACUGGAGUUUGUAUUGAUUGUUAUGUUUGGCAUCUUAAUAUCUGCAACUUCAAAUGACAGUGAAUUGAAUUUACUGUUUUCGUUCCAAGUGGAGUUGCAUUAUCUAGAUAAGCUACUCAAUUUUUUAUUGAGG
rnacentral:misc_RNA from 1 species